rnacentral:rRNA from 1 species
CUACGGGACGCACCAGUGGGGAAUAUUGCACAAUGGGCGCAAGCCUGAUGCAGCCAUGCCGCGUGUAUGAAGAAGGCCUUCGGGUUGUAAAGUACUUUCAGCGGGGAGGAAGGGAGUAAAGUUAAUACCUUUGCUCAUUGACGUUACCCGCAGAAGAAGCACCGGCGAACUCCGUGCCAGCAGCCGCGGUAAUACGGGGGGUGCAAGCGUUAAUCGGAAUUACUGGGCGUAAAGCGCACGCAGGCGGUUUGUUAAGUCAGAUGUGAAAUCCCCGGGCUCAACCAGGGAACUGCAUCUGAUACUGGCAAGCUUGAGUCUCGUAGAGGGGGGUAGAAUUCCAGGUGUAGCGGUGAAAUGCGUAGAGAUCUGGAGGAAUACCGGUGGCGAAGGCGGCCCCCUGGACGAAGACUGACGCUCAGGUGCGAAAGCGUGGGGAGCAAACAGGAUUAGAUACCCGAGUAGUC